rnacentral:lncRNA from 1 species
GGAGACGCGGGCAGCCAGCGAUGGCCGCGGAGGGGGCGAACUGGGUUCCGGCCCUCGGAGGCUGACGGAAGGCGGUGGCUGAGGAGCGGCGCCUCUGGUUGAGCGCUCGCCGUGUGUCCCGCACCUGUCUGUCCUGCCGCCGCCCGGUAAGAGUCUCACUCUGUUGCCAAGGCUGGAGUGCAGUGGCGGGAUCUCGGCUAACUGCAACCUCCCCAUCCCGGGUUCAAGCGAUUCUCCUGCCUCAGCCUCCCGAGUAGCUGCGAUUACAGACAUUUGCCACCAUGCCCGGCACAGCACAGCACCGCACAUCUCCAGUCGGACUGGCUACAUUUCAAGGGCUCAACCAUCACGCGUUACCAGUGGCUACUGCAUCAGACUGUGCAGUGCUAGAUGGGGAGUCAGAAGAGAAACCAAGUGAUUUCCAUGUCAAGUGGUGAACAGGCUAAGAAGAAAAACAGAGUCUCGCUGCAUCCCCCAGGCUGGAGUACAGUGGUAUGAUCUUGGCUCACUGCAACCUCUGCCUCCUAGGUUCAAGUGAUUCUCCUGCCUCAGUCUCCCGAGUAGCUGGGAUUACAGGCGCCCACCACCAUGCCCGGCUAAUUUUUGUAUUUUUAGUAGAGAUGGGGUUUCACUAUGUUGGCCAGGCUGGUCUCAAACUCCUGACCUCAGGUGAUCUGCCUGACUUGGCCUCCCAAAGUGCUGGGAUUACAGGCAUGAGCCACCUUGCCUGGCCUCUUCCUAAUGAUUUUUUAAAGUACAUCUUGUUUUCUCUGUCUUACUUUAUCAUAAAAAUAUAUGAUACAAAUAAAAUACAGAAUAUGUGUUAAUGGACUGUGUAUGUUAUGAGUAAGCCUUCCAGUCGACAGUGGGCUAUUAUUGGUGGUUAAGUUUUGGGGGAGUGUGUGUUCAAGGGUCAACCGCACUUCCUGAGGGCACUGUGAGAACUAAGUUAAAUAACCCACUUUUACAAUCUUUGGAACCGGGGGCAGGUGGCUGGGGCUCACACCUGUAAUUACAGCACUUUGGGAGGCUGAGGCAGGAAGAUCCCUUGAGGCCAAGAGUUUGAGACCAGCCUGGGCAACAAAGCAAGACUCUGUCUCUACAAAAAUUUUUAAAACUUAACCAGGCAGCUGGGCGCGGUGGCUCACGCCUGUAAUCCCAGCACUUCGGGAGGCCGAGGCGGGAGGAUCACAAGGUCAGGAGAUCGAGACCAUCCUGGCUAACAUGGUGAAACCCCGUCUCUACUAAAAAUACAAAAAAUUAGCCGGGCAUGGCAGCAUGCGCCGGUAGUCCCAGCUGCUGGGGAGGCUGAGGCAGGAGAAUGGUGUGAACCCGGGAGGCGGAGCUUGCAGUGAGCCGAGAUCGUGCCACUGUACUCCAGCCUGGGCGACAGAGCGAGACUCCAUCUCAAAAAAAAAAAAAACUUAACCAGGCGUGCUGGCAUGUGCCUGUUGUCCAGCUAGUCAGGUGGCUGAGGUGGGAGGAUCCCUUGAGCUCAGAAGUUUGAGGUUGCCAUGAGCCGUGAUCGUGCCACUGCACUCCAGCCUGGGUGACAGCAAGACCCUGUCUCUAAAAAAAAUUUUCUAAAAAAACAAAACCCAGGUCUGCUUGGUCUCAAAGAUCUUUAUUUGCCUGCUCUGAUUGUGAGAUAGGAAGUUCUUAUCUGAUUUUGCCCUUUUAUUUAUUUAUUUUUUUUUGAGAUGGAGUCUGUCUCUGUCAUCCAGGCUAGAGUGCAGUGGCACAAUCUUGGCUCACUGCAACCUCCGCUGAUAGCAGAUUACACUUUUAUUUUUAGUUUUUUAUGAGAUGGAGUUUUGCUUUUGUCGCCCAGGCUGGAGUGCAAUGGCAAGAUCUCGGCUUACUGCAACCUCCGCCUCCCGGGUUCAAGCAAUUCUUCUGCCUCAGGCUCCCAAGUAGCUGGGAUUACAGGUGCGCACCACCAUGCUCAGCUAAUUUUUUUGUAUUUUUAGUAGAGACAGGGUUUUGCCAUGUUGGCCAGGCUAGUCUCGAACUCCUGACCUCAAGUGAUCCACCCGCCUUGGCCUCCCAAAGUGCUGGGAUUACAGGCAUGAGCCACCACAUCUGGCUCUGUUUUGCUUUUUUUUUUUUUUUAAAUGAGAAGCAUAGUCUUGAUCCUGGGGAGUAGGAAUCGGCCACGGUAGUUCGGGGUACUCUUGCUGUCCCUCUCAGUCCCUGUCUGUUCCUUCAGCACAAGCUAUUGUGAGUCCAGGAGGUCAGGAGACAGAGAAGCUGACUGAGCCCAAGUCCCUGUUCUAGAGGACAUCACUGCCCUGAGGCAACGAUGGACACGUGGACACAUAAAUCCACCCAACGUGACAAGGGACGGGCACAGAUCGGCCUCCCAUGGAGGGCAGUGUUGGGGCCACAUUAAUCCAUGAGGAAGGGUCGGCUAGGCAGAGAAGAGAGGUGGGGAGUUCCAGACAGAGGGACCGACAGGAGUAACGGCACAAAUUUGUCAGGGAGGAUCAUUCAGGGAGCAGGGGUGCCGGUUCGGAGGGGAGAUCACAGUGAGGUGGCACUGGCCUUGAGGAGCCCUGGAAAGUCGGGCAGAGAAGAUCUGAUGUGAUCCCAUAGCCCACGUAGUCAGCCCACAACAGCCCGAUUCAGCCCAUGCCUGUUUUCCGGCGGCCCGUGAGCCAAGAAUGAUUUUUCCACAGUUGGAAAAAUAACAGUAGCGUUUUGUGACAUGUGAAAAUUACAUGAAAUGCAAGUUUCAGCGUCCAUAAAGUUUGACAGUAACACAGCCACGCCUCUCCUUUGUGUGUGGCCAGGGGACGCUCUUGAGCUGUCAUAGAGGCGGAAGUGGUGCACAGGACGCGCUUCAUGGAUGUGCACACUGCCUCACACGGGGCCCUGCCCUUCCACUGUCCCUGUUCUGAAGUUCUUUAUGAUUGAAGGGCCCCAGGUUUUUAUUUUGCAUCAGACCAUGCACAUUAUGUCAUGUAGGGUACACAGCAACAGAGACCGUGUGCCCUAGAAAGCCCCGAGUAUUUGCUGUGAAGCCCUUUUCAGAAAACACUGGUGGAUCCCCCGCAGAGACUUCCAUGUCCUGAUACCCUGGAACCCAUGAAUAUGGUACCUCACACGGCAGGCUUAAGGGUCUUUUUUUUUUUCUUUAAGAGAUAGGGUCUUGCUCUGUCACCCAGGCUGGAGUGCAGUGGCACGAUCACAGUUCACUACAGCCUCAAAACUUUUAGUCUCAAGUGAUCCGCCUGGCUUAGCCUCCUGAGUAGCUGGGGCUACAGACAUAAUGCCCAGCUAAUUAAAAAAAAAAAAAAAUAGAGAUGGGGUCUCACUAUGUUGCCCAAGCUGGUUUUAUUGAACUCCUGGCCUCAAGUGAUACUCCCAACUCAGCCUCCCAGUGUUGGGAUUACAGGCAUGAGCCACCGUGCCCAACCUGGUUGAAGAUUUUGAGAUGGGCCAGGCAUGGUGGCUCAUGCCUAUAAUCCCAGCACUUUGGGAGGCUGAGGCGGGCGGAUCAUCUGAGGCCAGGAGUUUGAGACCAGCCUGGCCAACAUGGUGAAACCCUGUCUCUACUAAAAAUACAAAAAUUGGCCAGGUGUGGUGGCACACGCCUGUAGUCCCAGCUACUUGGGAGGCUGAGGUUGCCGUGAGCCAAGGUCGCACCACUGCACUUCAGCCUGGGCAACAGAGUAAGACUCCAUCUCAAAAAAAAAAAAAAAAAAAAGAGAUGGGAGAUCAUUCUGGAUGAUGUGGGUGACCCAAUGGCAUCACAGGGUCCUUAUAAGAGGGAGGCAGGAUGGUCAGAAUCAGAGAUUGGAAGAGGCUGCACUGCUGGCUUGAAGGUGGAGGAAAGGGCCACAAGCCAAGGAAUUCAGGCGGCCUCUAGACGUUGGAAAAUGCAGGGAAAUGGAUUCUCCCUUGGAGCCUCUAGAAGGAACCAGCCCUGCGCACACCUUGAUUUUAGAACCUAGUAAGAACUAAUUUCAGACUUCUGACCCCAGGAUUGUAAGAUAAUAAAAAUGUGCUGCUUUGGGCUGGAUGCGGUGGCUUAUAUAUGUAAUUCCAGCAUUUUUGGGAGGCUGAGGUGGACAGAUUGCUUGAGCUCAGGAGUUUGAGACUAGCCUGGGCAAUGGUGAAACCCCAUCUGUACAAAAAAUAAAAUUAGCUGGGCGUGGUGGCAUGUGCCUCUAGUCUUAGCUACUUGGGAGACUAAGGUGGGAAGAUCAACUGAGCCCAGAAGGCUGAGGCUGCAGUGAGCCAUGAUCGCACCACAGCAUUCCAGCCUGGGCGACAGAGUGAGGCCCUGUCUAAAAUUAAAAUAAAUAGCUGGGCACGGUGGCUGACGCCUGUAAUCCUAGCACUUUGGGAGGCUGAGGCGGGCAGAUCACGAGGUCAGGAGAUCAAGACCAUCCUGGCUAACACAGUGAAACCCCGUCUCUACUAAAAAUACAAAAAAUUAGCGGGGCGUGGUGGUGGGCGCCUGUAGUCCCAGCUACUCAGGCUGAGGCAGGAGAAUGGCGUGAACCCGGGAGGUGGAGCUUGCAGUGAGCCGAGAUUGCGCCACUGCACUGCAGCCUGGGCAACAGAGCGAGACUCCCAUCUCAAAAACAAAAAAAAACCACCACCACCACCAACAACAACAAAAUUAAAAUAAAUAAAAUAAAAUAGUUGUUUUAAGUCACCAGGGUUGUGGUUAUUUGUUACAGUAGCCGCAAGGAACUAAAAGGGGGUGGGCAUUGAAAAUUUAUUGGCCGGGCGCGGUGGAUCACGCCUGUAAUCCCAGCACUUUGGGAGGCUGAGGUGGGCAGAUCACUUGAGGUCAGGAGUUCAAGACCAGCCUGGCCAACAUGGUGAAACCCCAUCUCUACUAAAAAUACAAAAAUUAGCCGGGCUUGGUGGCGGGCGCCUGUAAUUCCAGCUACUCUCAGGAGGCUGAGGCAGGAGAAUCGCUUGAACCCGGGAAGUGGAGGUUGCAGUGAGCUGAGACCAUGCCACUGCAUUCCAACCUGGGCAACAAGAGUGAAACUCCAUCUCAAACAAUAUAUAUAAAAAUACAAAUACAAGUACAAAAAUUAGCCGGGCAUGGUGGCACAUGCCUGUAAUCCCAGCUACUUGGGAGGCUGAGGCAGGAGAAAGGCAGGAGAAUCGCUUGGACCCAGGAGUCGGAGGUUGCUGUGAGGUGAGAUCGUGCCACUGCACUCCAGCUUGGGCGACAGAGUGAGAUCUGUCUUGAACAAACAAACAAACAAACAAAGAAUUUAUCUUUUAACUGAAAGAGUUUAAAACUGAGAGACUUACGUGAGUCUCUCUCUCUUUUUUUUUUUUUUUGAGACGGAGUUUCGCACUUGUUGCCUAGGCUGGAGUGCAAUGGCGUGAUCUUGGCUCACCGCAACCUCUGCCUCUUGGGUUCAAGCAAUUUUCCUCCUGCCUCAGCCUCCCGAGUAGCUGGGAUUACAGGCAUGUGCCACCAUGCGGGGCUAAUUUUGUAUUUUUAUUAGAGGUGGGGUUUCUCUAUGUUGAUCAGGCUGGUCUCGAACUCCCAACCUCAGGUGGUCUACCCACCUCGGCUUCCCAAAGUGCUGGGAUUACAGGCGUGAGCCAUGGUGCCCGGCCGUCUCUGUCUCUUAAUUUCUCUCUUUCUUUCCUUUCUUUCUGUCUCCCUUCCUUCCUUCCUUUCUUUUCUUUUCCCUCCUUCCCUCCUUUCUUUCUCUUUCUCUCUCCUUCCUUCCUUCCUUCCUUUUUUCCUUCUUUCCGCGGGAACCUGGGGCAAGUAGAAGAUACAACAUGAGAAGGGGGAGGCCUCCAGGGAGGCCAUCUAGACAACUGAAAGAGAGACGGCAAAGUGGACUGGUGGCCGGAGGAGUGCUGGAGGGUUCUGGAGAGAAGGAGGCUGAUUCCAGAUGUUUAAGAUGUGGGGUCAGCAGGACCCUGGGUGACCAGUGAAAUGUGGAGAAGGUGGCAGCCAGGUCAAUUAGAGACAGAUGUGGGGGAAAGCCAUUCUCUCUCAGAAUUCUGGAGGGUUCCAUAUAUGGGAUGGAGUUAUUCUGGGGACAUCAUAAGAAAUGGGUGUGCCUGUCAGGCGAGCAGUUCACUUGUCAGCCCCCACACAGAGCUGAAGCAUCAUAGCCCACCCCAGUUCACUGCCCACUCUGAAAACAGAAGCCGGGCAAGCUCCAAAAAGCCGGAAGAACCUUCUAGAAGCCCUGUGUUCUUCUGAGGCCCAACUUCAAUCUGAUGCCAUCUCAAGCGCCAGUGAGAUCGGUCAUAGAAGAUUAGAGGCUUUAUUUUUUCUCAGGCAGUUGAGUUUAUUUUCAGGUUAGCAGCAGUUUGGAGUUCGCUUCCUGGAUGAGGUCAGAGUUGGAGGGGCAGGUGGCCACAGUGUGCUGUGUGCAGAGUCCUUGCAGCCACGACACUUUGGCCGUUCUACCUUGUGCACAGUUCUGUCUCAAAGAGACUGGCCCCAAAGCAGGCACAGAAAUACCAGGCUUACUUACUUACUUACUUUAUUUAUUUGUUUAUUUUUGAGAUGGAGUCUCACUCUGUCGCCAGGCUGGAGUGAUCUCGGCUCACUGUAACCUCCGCAUCCUGGGUUCAAGCGAUUCUCGUGCCUCAGCCUCCUGAGUAGCUGGGAUUACAGGCACGUGCCACCACACCCAGCUAAUUUUAGUGUUUUUAGUAGAGAUGGGGGUUUCACCCUGUUGGCCAGGAUGGUCUUGAUCUCCUGACCUCAUGAUCCGCCUGCCUCGGCCUCCCAAAGUGCUGGGAUUAUAGGCGUGAGCCACCGCGCCUGGCCUAUUUAUUUAUUUAAGACAGGGUCUUGCUCUGUCACCCAGGCUGGAGUGCAGUGGCAUGAUCUCUGCCCACGGCAACCUCUGCGUCCCAGAUUCAAGCGAUUCUCUUGCUUCAGCCUCCUGAGUGGUUGAGAUUACAGGUACCCGCCACCAUGCCCGGCUAAUUUUUUUGUAUUUUUAGUAGAGACGGGGUUUCACCAUGUUGGGCAGUCUGGUCGCGAACUCCUGAUCUCAAAUGAUCGGCCCGCCUCAGCCUCCUAAAGUGCUGGAAUUACAGGUGUGAGCCACCGUGCCUGGCCACCAGGCUUAACUUUAGGAAUUACUUCACUUUCCCCAGCCGCAGUUCGUUUAUUUGUACAAGGCAGGCAGUACCGGUGCCACCACCUCGAGAGCCUGUUUAAAGCAGGCACCGAGCAGGGCACUUAACGCACCUUCUUGGUGGCUGUCCAGUAAACAACGUGGGGGUCAGCGACCCAGAGGGCAGCACAGACCUCUCCACCGCUUGUCACAGAAUUGCAGCCUCUCUAACACCACGCACAAGAUAACACGGGUCACUGGCCUCAGCCAGCUCGGGACGUUUUCCAGAGUUCACUUUCUGGAUCCUACCUAUAACCCUUCCAUUCCUCUCUCUUUCUCUCUCUCUUUCUUUCUUUCUUUCUUUCUCUCUCUCUUUUUCUCUUUUUUUUUUUUUUUUUUUUUUUUUUUUUGGAGAUAGAGUGUCGCUCUGUCGCCCAGGUUAGAGUACAGUGGCGUGAUCCCGGCUCACUGCAAGCUUCGCCUCCCGGGUUCACGCCAUUCUCCUGCCUCACCCCCCAAGUAGCUGGGACUACAGGCACCCACCACCACGCCCAGCUAAUUUUUUGUAUUUUUUAGUAGAGACGGGGUUUCGCUGUGUUAGCCAGGAUGGUCUCGAUCUCCUGACCUUGUGAUCCACCUGCCUCGGCCUCCCAAAGUGCUGGGAUUACAGGCGUGAGCCACCGCGCCUGGCCUCUUUUCUUUUUCUCUCUCUCUCUUUCUUUCCUGCUUUCUCUUUCUUUCUCCCUUCCUUCCUUCCUUCCAUCCCUCUUUCCCUCUCUCUCUCUUUCUUUCUUCGAUGGAGUCUCAUUCUGUCACCCAGGCUGGAGUGCAGUGGUGCAAUCUCGGCUCACUGCAACCUCCGCCUCCUGGGUUCAAGUGAUCCUCCCGCCUCAGCCUUCCGAGUAGCUGGGACUACAUGUGCGUGUCACCACGCCCAGCUAACUUUUGUAUUUUAGUAGAGAUGGGAUAUCUCCGUGUUGGCCAUGCUGGUCUCAAACCCCUGACCUCAAGUGAUCUACCUGUCUCGGCCUCCGAAAGUGCUGAGAUUACAGGUGUGAGCCACUAUGCCCGGUCUCCAGAAUAUUUUCAUCGCCCCAGAAAGAAACCCUGUACCCAUUACCUGUCACUCCCCAUCCCUGGAACCCACUGGUCUACUUCCUGACUCCACGGAUUUUUUUACUCCGGAUACUUCAUAUAAAUGGAAUCUUAUCCAGUGCAUUAUUUUGUGUCUGGCUUCUUUCACUGAGCAUGUUUUUAAGGUUCACGUGCUAUUGUAGAAGGAGUUAGUACUUCAUUCCUUUUCAGGGUUGAAUGUAAUUUCAUCCUAUGCCGGAGGCUGAGUCAGGAGUGUUACUUGAAGCCAGGAGUUCCCUUAGGCAACAUAGCAAGACUCUAACUUUAAAACAUCUUUGAAAAAUUAAGUCCGGGCUGGGUGGUUCAUGCCUGUAAUCCCAGCAUUUUGGGGGGCCAAUGCAGGCAGAUCACCUGAGGUCAGGAGCUUGAGACCAGCCUGGCCAACAUGGUGAAAGCCCAUCUCUACUAAAAAUGCAAAAAUUAGCCAGGCGUGAUGGCGGGAGCCUGUAAUCCCAGCUACUGAGGAGGCUGAGGCAGGAGAAUUGCUUGAACCUGGGAGGCAGAGGUUGCAGUGAGCCAAGAUUGCACCACUGCACUCCAGCCUAGGCGACAGAGCAAAAUUCCAUAUCAAAAAAUAAAAAUAAAAUAAAAAUUAGCUGGGGGUUGGCAGGGUGCAGUGUCUCACCCCUGUAAUCUUAGCAUGUUGGGAGGCCAAGGAGGGCUGAUCACCUGAGAAUUGCUUGAACUCAGGAGGCGGAGGUUGCAGCGAGUGUAAUGGUGCGAGCUUGGCUCACUGCAACCUCUGCCUCGUUGGUUCAAGCGAUUCUCCUGCCUCAGCCUCCCUGAGUAGCUGGGACUACAGGUGCCCGCCAUCACACCCAGCUAAUUUUUUUUUGUAUUUUUAGUAGAGACAAGGUUUCACCAUGUUGGCCAGACUGGUCUUGAACUCUUGACCUCAGGUGAUCCUCCCGCCUUGGCUUCCUAAAGUGCUGAGAUUACAGGCAUGAGCCACCAUGCCUGGCCUUUUUUCUUUUCUCUAUUUUUGAGAUGGAGUCUCACUCUAUCGCCAGGCUGGAGUGAUCUUGGCUCACUGCAAUCUCCAGGGUUCAAUUGCCUCCAGGGUUUGAGCAAUUCUCCUGCCUCAGCCUCCUGAGUAGCUGGGAUUACAGGCAUGCACCACCACACCAGUCUAAUUUUUGUGGUUUUUAUUUUUAUUUAUUUAUUUUUUGAGAUAGAGUUUCUCUCUUGUUGCCCAGGCUGGAGUGCCUCGAUCUCAGCUCACUGCAACCUCCACCUCCUGGGUUCAAGAGAUUCUCCUCCCUCAGCCUCCCGAGUAGCUGGAAUUAUAGGCGUCCACCACCAUGCCCAGCUAAUUUUUUGUGUUUUUCGUAGAGAGGGUUUCACCAUGUUCGCCAGGCUGGUCUCAAACUCCUGACCUCAGGUGAUCCACCCGCCUCAGCUUCCCAGAGUGCUGGAAUUACAGGCAUGAGCCACCACGCCUGGCCUAAUUUUUGUAUUUUUAGUAGAGAUGGGGUUUCACCAUGUUGGCCAGGCUGGUCUUGAACUCCUGACCUCAGGUGAUCUGCCUGACUUGGCCUCCCAAAGUGCUGGGAUUAUAGGCGUGAGCCACCAUGACUGGACUUCUUCCUAUUUUUUUUUUUGUUUUGUUUUUUGAGACCGAGUCUCGCUGUGUCGCCCAGGUUGGAGUGCAGUGGCGCGAUCUCGGCUUACUGCAAGCUCCACCUCCCGGGUUCAUGCCAUUCUCCGCCUCAGCCUCCCAAGUAGCUGGGAAUACAGGCACCCGCCACUGCGCCCGUCUAAUUUGUUGUAUUUUUUUAGUAGAGAUGGGGUUUCACCGUGUUAACCAGGAUGGUCUCAAUCUCCUGACCUCGUGAUCCGCCUGCCUUGGCCUCCCAAAUGCUGGGAUUACAGGCGCGAGCCACCGCGCCCGGCCCCUUCUUCCUAUUCUUUCAAAGCCACCAGUUGCCCUCCUAUGAUAACCCAUUAUCUAUUAACCCAUGGAUCUGUUAACCCAGGAAUGGAUUAAUCAGUUCAUGAGGGCAGAAUUCUCAUGACCCAGUCACCCCUUAAAGGCCCCACCUCUGUCAACACGGCCACAUCAAGGAUUAAGUUUCAACGUGAGUUUUGGAGGAAACGAACAUUGAAACUGUGGCACCAGGUGUUAUCAGUCUAUUAAGAGCUCAUGCAAAUUGAUAAGCACCAAAGGUGCAAAGAUCAGAAACAGACAAUUCCCAGGAGGAUAAGCGGGGGGUCUAGGAGCCUAAGAGUGGAUGUAUUGGGCAUCAAGGGAGGGCCUGUUGGCCAGGGUUGGUCACAGCAAGGAUCAUUCCAAUGCUGCCGGGACCCCAACACUUGCUUUCUGGCCAGGCGCGGUAGCUCACGCCUGUAAUCCCAGCACUUUGGGAGGCCGAGGUGGGUGGGUCACGAGGUUAGGAAAUCAAGACCAUCCUGGCUAACAUGGUGAAACCCUGUCUCUACUAAAUGUACAAAAAAUUAGCCGGGCGUGAUGGCGGGCGCCAGCUACUUGGGAGGCUGAGGCAGGAGAAUGGUGUAAACCCGGGAGAUGGAGAUUGCAGUGAGCAGAGAUCAUGCGACUGCACUCCAGCCUGGGUCACAGAGUGAGACUCCGUCUCAAAAAACAAACAAACAAACAAAAAACACUUGCUUUCCAAAGGGGUGGCUGCCACUUCAAUUGGAAAGACCCUUUGGACAAUGCACACCCAGCAUAUAAGAGGGUUCAUAGGCCAGGCGUGGUGGCUCACACCUGUAAUCCCAGCACUUUGGGAGGCUGAGGCAGGAGGAGAAUUGCUUCAGUCUGGGAGUUCAAGACCAGCCGGGGCAACAUAGCAAGAUCCUGUCUCUAUGGAUAAAAAAAAAAAAGGUCGGGCCCAGUGGCUCACACCUGUAAUCCCAGCACUUUGGGAGGCUGAGACAGGCAGAUCACCUGAGGUUGGGAGUUCAAGCUCAGUAGCUCUCUAAAAAUACAGAUCACCUGAGGUCAGGAGUUCGAGCUCAGUAGCUCUGUAAAAAUACAGUAAUUAGCCGGGCAUGGUGGUGCACGCCUGUAAUCCUGGCUACUGGAGAGGCUGAGGCAUGAGAAUCACUUGAACCUGGGAGGCGGAGGUUGCAGUGAGCCAAUUGCGCCAUUGCGCUCCAGCCUGGACAACAGAACGAGACUCCAUCUCAAAAAAAAAAAAAAAAAAAAAAAAGAGGGUUCGUAGUCUGAGCUUGUGAUUAUACCACUGAAAAUUACCCCAAGCCACUUGUGGAAGGGCUGCCUGCAGAAGGACGUGUCUUAGGCUCUUUAAUAAGUUACCUUCUGGUUGGAAACUACCUAAACGCCCAGCACGCAGGCUGGCCCGGUAAAUCACGCACCCAUAGGAGUUAUGGUCAGGAGGCCUGUGACUCUGUAGAGUGGUAGUGGCUCCCGGGCCCUGGGCCAAGCGCUGUACUGAUGCCCUCAAAUCCUCAUGGUAACAGCCUGUUCAGUUCUGUUCACCCCAUUUUACAGCAAGGGGCUGCUCUGGGGGCAGGGAGGAGCCCAGCUGGGUGGGAGAUCGUGGGUUCAUGGUGGCAUCUGUGGGUACUCCAUCCAAUCAAGGGUCUGAGGCUUAAGAAGCUUAAAUUUGGGGGAGAUAGGGACAUUCUCAAUGGUGCAGUUAAAGCAGUGGCUUCAGAUUCUGGUGGGAGAGGAAGGAACUGAGGCUGGGGAAAGGGAUGUAUUGGUCUUUUCUUUGGAAACAGUCUUGCUCUGUCGCCUAGGCUGGGCUGGAGUGUAAUGGCACGAUCUCGGCUCACUGCAACCUCCGCUUCCCAGGUUCAAGCGAUUCUCAUGCCUCAGCCUCCUGAGUAGCUGGGAUUACAGGCAUGUGUCAGCACGCCCAGCUACUUUUUGUAUUUUUAGUAGAGACAGGGUUUUGCCAUGUUGCCCGGGCUGGUCUUGAACUCUUGGGCAACAGUGAUCCGCCCGCCUCAGCCUCCCAAAGUGCUGAGAUUACAGGCAUGAGCCAUCGCCCAGUCUCACUGGUCUUUCAUCUUUGUUCCAUCCUCAUUCCCAUUCAGCACCUGAUGUACUUCUCUCUUACUGGGGUGCACCCCAGGGGACGCAUGACUGUGCUACAGCCCACGGGGUUUCAGCAGGGUGCGCAGAGGACCUCAGGUGGCCCUUGUUACCCACACUCAUUCCUUGCCAGGUCUUCCACAGGUCAAGGAGCCAGGAUUCUGGGGUUUGGACACCCCAUUCUCUGGCGGAUGGGGCUGGCCUGGAGCCUGGGUGGGAGUACCGGGUUUCAUACAUCGGGGGCUCAGGCUUGGGGAGGGGUCACAUGGAAGUCACCUGGCUGGCCAGAGCAGUUGCAGCCACAGCAGGUAGAAGGCAGGAGCCAGGACUGGGUGGGCCUGCGUGGGAGGGACGGCCAAACCCUGAAACUAGCCUCCACCCUCCAGGGUACAGGGGCUUCCCUGGACACACACUGGCCUUCCUCGUCCUCCUCUUUAUACCAUUGCACCCAGGUUUGUUUGUCUGUUUUUAGUGACAGAGGCUUGCUGUGUCACCCAGGAUGGAGUGCAGUGGCACAUUCUCAGCUCACUGCAACCUCUGCCUCCCAGAUUCAAGCAAUUCUCCUGCCUCAGUCUCCUGAGUAGCUGGGAUUAUAGGCAUGUGCCACCGCAUCCGGCUAAUUUUUGAUUUUUUUUUUUUUUUUUUUUUUUUUUUUUUUUAGUGGAGACGGGGAUUCAUUAUGUUGGCCAGGCUGGUCUUGAACUCCUGACCUCCAGUGAUCCACCUGCCUCGGCCUCCCAAAGUGCUGGGAUUACAGACAUGAGCCACUGCACCCAGCCCCUGGGGUUUUAUUUACCCAGAUCCCCACUGCCUUUCCUUCCUGUGGCUGACAUCUCCCUACACUGUCCCCCAGAAACACAGCUGUUUUGCCCUCAACCACAGCUCCUGCAUCCAGUGCAGGGCCUGGCUCUUGACUGAGACAUCAGCAAAUGUGAGCCCUGCUCUCCUGGGUCAAUGCAGGCUCCUUCAGGAAGGAGGCGGGGAUCUGUCCCCCUUGGCAUCCCCAGUGCCCAGCAUGGGGGGCCUGGCACCCAUGAGGCAGCCAAGGCUUUCAGACCAAAUGAACAAGCAGUGAGCCCUGCCUUCGAGGGCCCGUCUUGAGGACACCAGGUGGGUUUAUGACAUCCCAGUGGACAUGAGGCCCCCAGGGACCAGUUCCUCUCCGGCAUUGGCACCAGGGCCCCUGCCCCACUGGAUCAGACCUCCCAAGCUUGGGGUCCCUUUUCCAGUAGGCAAGAGAGGCACCCGACUCCUGCUUCAGCCCAAGGAGAACCUGCCGACUCCAAGGGGUGGCCAUUGAGGGGAUCAGUGACGUAAGUCCUUCAGAGGCAGCAGGGACAAGGAGCUGUAGGGAAAACAGGGCAGGCCUGGGGUUGGGGGGUGUGGGGUGCUGACAAGGUGCAGACCCACCACCCCAACCAAGCCCCUCCUCCGCAGAUCCAUCACCUCUGCCCCGUGCCCCAUGAAUGAACCAGCUCAUUCCCCGGCCCAGUGACCAGCACAGGCUCCAGACGUUUCCCUCGGACAUUGUCUGCCUGACCACCUCUUCCAGCACAGUGAGGGGCCUGGGAUCUGGAGGCCAGAGUGGGCCAGGCCUAGGGGUGGGGGGAAAAACGUCACUAUUCUUAGAUCCCUCGUCCUCCAGGGCCCAGGCCAGGCGGAGCAGUCACAUUCCAGAGGUAGAAACCAUCAGCCCACACAAAUGCUUGUGUUCCCUGAGGAGGCCAAGGGUCACCAGGAACUAAAAUCAGCUUUUCCCAAGAAAGGCGGGAGACAGGGUGGGGGGCGGGGGGCAGGGUUAGAAAGGCCAAAGGUCACCCAAUAAACCCUUCCAGCUGCCCCUGGUGGAAAGCCCCUCUGAGUCCGGAGGGAUGAGGACAGAGGGAUUCUCGCCCUCUAAGCUACUCUGCGGGCUGGCUGAUUCUUCCUGGUAGGGGGCGGUCCUGUGCAGUCUAGAUUAUUUAGCAGCUCUCUGGCAGCCCACCGCCCCCCCAGCCUCCCAGUGGUGACAGCCAAAUCUCUCUCCAGGCACGGGCCAGGUGUCCCCUGGGGAAAAAUCGACCCCAGAUGAGAACUGUACUUUCCCAAACAGAGCUUCCAGGUGGCGUCUGGGGUAGAUAUUUAGGAUCCUGCUGUUCUAUGGACUCUGUUCUCUCAGCCUGGAAUCCUCUUCCCGCAUAGCACAAUCCCCCACCAGCCCUGCAAUCUUCCAGAACUAAACCCACACAUCACCUCCCUCAGGAAGUGUCCUGUGGGCCCCCCAUCUUAUGAUUUUGGCCCCCACGGAUGCUGUGGUAGGUAAAAUAAAGCCCCUUUGGCCAGAUAUGGUGGCUUACACCUGUAAUCCCAACAUUUUGGGACGCCGAGGAGGGAGGAUCACUUGAGCCUAGGAGUUAGAGACCAGCCUGGACAACAUAGCAAGACACAGUCUCUACAAAAAAAAAUAAAAAAAUUAGCUGGGGCUGGGCGCGGUGGCUCACGCCUGUAAUCCCAGCACUUUGGGAGGCCAAGGCGAGCGGAUCACAAGGUCAAGAGAUCGAGACCAUCCUGGCCAAGAUGGUGAAACCCUGUCUCUACUAAAAAUACAAAAAUUAGCUGGGCGUGUUGGCACGUGCCUGUAAUCUCAGCUACUCUGGAGGCUGAGCGAGGAGAAUUGCUUGAACCCGGGAGGUGGAAGUUGCAGUGAACCGAGAUCGCACCACUGCACUCCAGACUGGCGACAGAGAAAGACUCCGUCUCAAAAAAAAAAAAAAAAAAAUUAGCUGGGGCCGGGUGCAGUGGCUCAUGCCUAUAAUCCCAGCACUUUGGGAGGCCGAGGCGGAUGGAUCCCUUGAUGCCAGGAGUUUGAGACCAGCCUGGCAAACAAGGUGAAACCCUGACUCUACUAAAAAUACAAAAAUUAGCCGGGCGUGGUGACACAUGCCAGUAGUCCCAGUUCUACUUGAGAGGCUGAGGCAGGAGAAUUGCUUCAACUCAGUGGGGGCAGAGGUUGCAGUGAGCUGAGAUUGAGCCAUUGCACUCCAGCCUUGGCUACAGAGCAAGACCCUGUCUCAAAAAAAAAAAAAAAAAAAAAAUGCUGGUCUUGGUGGCUCACGCCUGUAAUCCCAGCACUUUGGGAGGCUGAGGCGGGCAGAUCACCUGAGGUUGGGAGUUCGAGACCAGCCUGCCCAACAUGAAGAAACCCUGUUGCUACUAAAAAAUCAAAAUUAGCUGGGCGUGGUGGAGCAUGCCUGUAAUCCCAGCUACUCAGGAGGCUGAGGCAGGAGAAUUGCUUGAACUCGAGGGGCAGAGGUUGCAGUGAGAUGAGAUGGAGCCACUGCACUCCACCCUUGGCUAUAGAGUGAGACUCUGUCUCAGAAAAAAAAAAAUGAGGAGGCAGGAGGGUCACAGUCAGAAAGAGACUGGAAGAGGCUGCGCUGCUGGCCGUGAAGGUGGAGGAAGGGGCCCCAAGAUGAGAGCUGUAGGUACCUCUAGAAGCUGGGAAAGGCUGAAAAUGGAGCCUCCAGGAGGAACCAGCCUCAUCAACACCUUAAUUUUAGGACAUCUGACCUCCAGUGCUGUAAAAUCAUAAAUCUGGGUUGCUUUAAGCUGCUCUGUUUCUGGUCAUUUGUUUCAGCAGCCACGAGAGACUCAUACCAGCCUCUUCUCUGCAGCCCCGAGUCAGCCCUGGAGAGCUGCCGGGCAGUCGGCCUGGCAUUUGCCUUUCCUGGCAUGAGCUUUGUAACCCGGCAGAGCUGCUGGCCGUGGCAAGCAUCUCCUAGGAGAUGGGAGAACUCAAUGGAAAAAGGUUUCAGAGUCAGGGCUUGGGUGGACCACAUUCCUUCAAGCUUUAUACCAUAGAGAGCUUUGUUAGGGAGGUGGAGAAGCAGACAAAGUGACUCGUGUUCUCUCCAAUUUAUUUAUUUAUUUAAUUUAUUUAUUUUCAGACGGACUCUCUCUCUGUUGUCCAGGCUGGAGUACAGUGGCUUGAUCUUGGCUCACUGCAACCUCUGCCUCGUGAGUUCAAGUGAUUCUCCUGCCUCGGCCUCCCAAGUAGCUGGAAUUACAGACAUGCACUACCACACCCAGCUAGUUUUUUGGUAUUUUUAGUGGAGACAGAGUCUCACCAUGUUGGCCAGGCUGGUCUCCAACUCCUGACCUCAAGUAAUCCGCCUGCCUUGGCCUCCCAAAGUGCUGGGAUUACAGGCGUGAGCCACCAUGCCCAGCCCAAAUAAUUGUUUUAAAAGGCCAGGCUGGUGGCUCAUAUCUGGAAUCCCAGCACUUUGGGAGGCUGUGGUAGGAAGAUCACUUGAGCCCAGGAGCCCGGGAUUCCCAGGCUGUAGUGAGCUAUGAUCGGGCCACUGCACUCCAGUCUGGACGACAGAGCCUACCCCCAUCCCUGCCCCCCGAAAAAGUUAUUCCUAUAAAGACCCAAGGGCCCAAUCUUUGUUUCAUGGUACCUUUGUUCUUUAUUUCUUACUACUUAUUCAUUUUUAAAUAUUCUGAAUAGUCAAAGUCAAGAUGUAGCUGACUUUGAAAUGCUUCCCUGCCAGGUGCAAUGACUCACACCUGUAAUCCCAGCAUUUUGGGAGGCUGAGGCAGGAGAAUUGCUUUAGCUCAGGAGUUCAAGACCAGCCUGGGCAACAUAGCGAGAUCCCUGUCUCUACAAAAAAAUGACAAAGUUAGCUGGGCAUGAUGGUGCACACCUGUAAUCCCAGCUACUUGGGAGGUUGAAGUGAGAGGGAUCACUGGACCCCAGGAGUUUGAGACUGCAGUGAGCCAUGAUCACACCACUGCACUCCACCCUGGGUAACAGAGUGAGACCCUGUCUCAAUCAAUCAAUGAAUCAACAUUUUAAAUAUGAAACAUUUUCCACAUUCUUCAACAUGUCCUAGGGCAGUCCUUGUUCCCUUUCCCUAGGACAGCUCAUUUUUGAAUUUUAGAAGCAAUGCUAAAGGGAAAAUGUGUCUGUGUGUUUUUUUUUUUUGUUGUUGUUGUUGUUUGUUUUUGUUUUUUUUGAGACAGAAUCUCACUCUGUUGCCCAGGCUGGAGUGCAGCGGCAUGAUCUUGGCUCACUGCAACCUCCACCUCCUGGGUUCAAGCCAUCCUCCUGCCUCAGCCUCCCUAGUAGGUGGGACUACAGGCAUGC